UCGAAAUAAGUGGCAAUGUUUACGGCAUGUACGGAUACAAGAGAUUUUGACGCGGACGACUAAUAACCAAAGCAAGGACAAUAGGACUUCGACAACAACACAUCCUCACGAAAAACAUCUUAAGAAAUAUUUUUAGCCAAUAACGGUGAGAUGGAACAAAAGCGUUUUUAAUCACCACAGUGGAAGCAUUCCUCACAUACGUUUCUACUUUGUCCAAGAGUUGUUUUAUGGAGUGCUAAAUCAACCUUCAAAAGAGAUUUACUGUACCCGGAUGUCUUCCAAGCUCCGAGUUUAAGGAUGACCGCGGAAGAAUGGGUCGAGUGGACCACAACGACGACAACAACACAUCCUCACGAAAAACAUCUUAAGAAAUAUUUUUAGCCAAUAACGGUGAGAUGGAACAAAAGCGUUUUUAAUCACCACAGUGGAAGCAUUCCUCACAUACGUUUCUACUUUGUCCAAGAGUUGUUUUAUGGAGUGCUAAAUCAACCUUCAAAAGAGAUUUACUGUACCCGGAUGUCUUCCAAGCUCCGAGUUUAAGGAUGACCGCGGAAGAAUGGGUCGAGUGGACCAAAAUUCACCGGAAGCCGAUCGUUCCUUAUACAAACCUCUGUAUUUUUCGACUAAUAUUGGUGUAUAAAUUCGCUCCAAAAAGUAUUUUUUUUGCGUGGGUAUUGACAAAAACGGAAUGCGACAUAAAGGUAGAAUUCGUUAAAGCGGUGGCUCUUUAAUGAUAAUUAUACAAAAAUUGCCUCAAAGGCGAGCAAUGAUAAAACCGUCGAUUAAAACCCCUCUUCUACGAUCGCCAUGUUUACAACACUCUAUGCCCUUUCUUUAGUCAAAACUUUUAAAGGUGUUCAUGUAUGCUUUACAAUACAAACUUUUCGUCUCAGUGUGAUCAGAUGUGGGUCUUAUUCUCUUUUAUGCGAAGAAAUAGUGUCGAUAAAACAUGGAAUAAGCUGCAAACAGUACAGCAAAAUACAGUCUUGUAGUCGCUUGGUCAAUGACGCGAUAAGCCCAAGUUAUUGCUUGUUUAUCAUUGCUGGCCGCUAAAGCAAUGUUAGCGGAGCUUCCACGAAGGGAAGCGAAGCCCCAUAC